rfam:Bombyx mori DNA, contig: Bm_scaf23_contig15858, strain: p50T/Dazao, build 2, whole genome shotgun sequence.
UCCUCGGUAGUACAGUGGGUCAGUAUGCUCGCCUGUCACGCGAGAGACCGGGGUUCGAGCCCCCGCCGAGGAG